UACGGGGGGGGUAAGCGUUGUUCGGAAUUACUGGGCGUAAAGCGCGCGUAGGCGGCUUUUCAAGUCGAUUGUGAAAUCCCCGGGCUUAACCUGGGAACUGCAGUCGAGACUGUCUAGCUAGAGUAUGGGAGAGGGAAGUGGAAUUUCAGGUGUAGCGGUGAAAUGCGUAGAUAUCUGAAGGAACAUCAGUGGCGAAAGCGACUUCCUGGACCAAUACUGACGCUCAUGUGCGAAAGCGUGGGGAGCAAACAGG
rnacentral:rRNA from 1 species